rnacentral:lncRNA from 1 species
AGAAAUUAAGCAUACUUCUUAGAUAAUAGAAAUGGAAAUGUACUUCUUCAAAUAUUCUUCAAUGUACUUGUUAAUAAAUAGAAUGAAGUUAUUACUACAACUAAGGUUACAUAAUUCACUUGCCCAAGGAUAGAAAACAUAAUAAGAAAAAAAAAAAUUAAAUCAUAGUUUUCAUAAAGCCCUAAAAUACAUAACUUUUGUCUAACUCCAAAUUCAAAAUUUAAGCCAUUGCAUAAUAAUCUCUUCAAAUAUAGAGUCAACAAAUUGAAUGUGUGGUUUUAAAUGUAUGAUAGCAUAUAUGUAUAUUACACGAUCCUCCCUAUACUAUGCAUCAGUUUUACCAUUCUAUUCCUUUUUCUUCUCCUUAUCCCUCAACGUUCUUAUCAUGUGCAUCAGUGUCUUAUUCUAUCUUCUCAAAAAACAUACUUACUAUAGGUGCACCUGCAAUAAAAGAAGUGUGUCAAAUAUAUAGUAUGAAAGUUGAGAAAGUAAAGUAACAAAAUGCAACAUGUUUCAUCCAAUAGUAGGUCAAAUAUAUGGUAUGAGAGUUAAGUAACAAAUGGAGCAUGUUCCGUCCAAAAUACAUGCACCAAUUUUUGUGUAAAAGCUCCCAAACUUGAAACCCAAUUUUCUUAACUAAUUCAAAGUCUUAUAUAAUGACAAUAGAAACCAUAGUUCAUGUGCAGAAAAUGUAACAUAAUCAAAGCAAAUAUAGUGAAAAUAAGCUUAAUCCAUUAUUGCAAGCCUUGAACUCAUUGGGUCAUGUUGAAGGGCAUAUGCAUGAUGCAUGGUUUUUAAUGUAACAAUCCUAGAUUCAGCAAGAGUUUAUCUAUCAAAUAUUUUUUAGCAAACGAUAUGUGUUGUUAGAUGCAUGAUAAUGAAGAUAUAUGGAUGCCAAGCUAGCUGCUAGCAUGCAUGCACUGAUAAUGACACCACAAGAAGCCAUUUGAUUAGAAGCACCAUUGAUCUAUAAGCCCCUUGGUAUUUCUAAGUAAAAUAAUUACAAAAAUCUAAACCUUAGAUGGACUACCAACUAUGAUUGAACACACAUCACAUAUAAAUUAUUCCAACACUAACCCAAAUCUGAUUUGAACACUGCCAAGUCUGAUUGACAAAUUGAAAUGACAAACAAAAAAUAUGCAGAAAGUAACUAUAAGAAACAGAUAGAAUCAUUUCAAGUCUCAUUGAUUCACUAAUUAGCUUUAAGAAACAAAUAGAUUGAGCCAAGACUUAAACCCUUAGAAAACCUUUUUUUAAUAUACUUAAAUUAAAAGACCUUAGAAGUAAUAAAUAAAAAUUAAAGAGGAUAAAGUAUGACUAACCAAAUCAAUUAUUGAUAUUGAAAAACAAAGGGGGUAAAAUUUGAAUUUCAACUAUUCUUACCAAUAAAGCAUGGAAAAGUGUUGAUGGGGAAGAUAUUUGAUUUUGAGAGUCUUGAGGAAGAAAAAGCCUUCUAAACCAGUUGAACAUUGCCAAAAGAUGUGGAAUUUUUUUGUUUGACGGUGUUUCAUAGUUGACUUGUGUCAGGUUAUCUGCCAUGAAUCAGAGUCAAAACCUCACAAAAUAGAAUAAAUUAGAGCAAUCUAAUGACUUGUGUCAUUCUAAGCCAAUGCAGGUUAUAAUUUAAAAGUAUGGAAUAAAUACACCUGAUCCUUAUAACAAAGGACACAUUAAAGAAGGAGAGCAUACUUAUGUCGAGUAGUCACAACACUAACACCAAAUCAAGUAUGAAGUAUCAUGUAUAUGCCUAAACUUAAUGGAUCAUAAACAGAUUUUAUUAAAUGUGCAAGUUUAAUUUAUGAUAUAGUGAAUUCCUCUAGUUUCAAAAUUGGAAGCGACUUAGCUACAUCCAAAGAAAACUAAUCCUUUCAAUUACUUUGCUCUCAUCCUCACUUCAACUUACUCUUUCAUUUGUCUAUUUCCUCAUCCUUGCACUAACUUUCCAAUAUAUAUUCUUCCUCGCUAACAUCAGACUGAACAAAAAAAAUAAUAUCAAUAGUAUAUACUAUAACCUCCCGUCUUAUAAGAAUUGAUUAAUAAAGAGAACGUUUUAAACGUAUUUUGUUUUAUACUAAUACGAUUAGCUUCAUCGUGAAUAUGAAUGUUAAUAAUUAAUGUGAUUGAAAAACUAUAGAGUAACGUAGAAAAUGCAAUGAAACUAUCAACAAAAAGGAAAAAUAAAAAACAAAAAACCAAAAUAAAUCUAAUUGAAGACUAAUUCACCAAAUCAAUGCAUUUGAAAAAAAAAGCUAAACUAUAAAGCAAUGCUUUAAAGCUAUUGAAUAAGCAUAAUUAUAUUGGAAAAACAAUGUUAUACAGUGAUUCUAUUCAACAUUUAAGGGUAUUAUAUUUAUUACAAACUGUAUCUAUCUUAGUUGCACUCAAGCUUUAGCUAAUCUUCUUGCUCCUUCCUUUCUAAUCUUUUCCGUAUGAUAUGCUCUGUAAUAUUUGGUCAAAAACUGCAGAAAAAGGCAAUCAUCAAAAUAAUUCUAGAUGCCAAAACAUCGUACCACUNNNNNNNNNNNNNNNNNNNNNNNNNNNNNNNNNNNNNNNNNNNNNNNNNNNNNNNNNNNNNNNNNNNNNNNNNNNNNNNNNNNNNNNNNNNNNNNNNNNNNNACGUAACGGAAAAUAGAAAGAAAUAAGGGUUACCUCUGAAAAUGAUAGUGAUGUCAUUCUAAGAAUCUCAACUUGUUUCUCAUUUACGGUUCGAUCUCCAUGGAAUUCUCUGCCAGGUAUAAAACAAAAUCAGUUAAGUGUGCACAAAACCAUAUUUGAAGUGGCUGUAAAUGACAUAAAGUGAUAUUAACUUCAACGUCUAAUUGAGGAGUUUUCAAAUACAAUCAAGUUAUGCACCUCACUAACUCGCUAUAGUAAGAAAUUCAAAGAAUGACAAUAAUUCCUUCUAUGUAAAUAAAAAUAAAAAUACGAAACUAAAAGUGACCCACUUAUAUAGGUCAUGAAUAUAUAAUAAGCACAUGAAUAUAUAGGUCAGCCAUCAUGCUUCUUCUCUAGCCCAUCCCAUGUAUUCGUAUGCUACUAAUGUCAAUGUUCAAACUACCCAUUACUGAUGUUGCUAGGUUUCUUAUUGAUUUUUGGCUACACAUUAAAAGCAAUAGUAAUCAAAAGAUAUAAUUCUUCUUGAUUCUCACCUAUGUUUAACUGGACAUGUUUCCUAAAGCUUUGAUUAGUAUGUGAACCGUCCAUAGACUCUUAAGUAUAUCUUUCCAAGGCAGGAGCUCCAUCACAGCAUC